ensembl:lncRNA
GUGGAGGUGUGUGUGUGUGGAGGUGGUGUGUGUGUGGAGGUGUGUGUGUGUGUGUGUGUGUGGAGGUGUGUGUGUGGAGGUGUGUGUGUGUGUGUGUGUGUGGAGGUGUGUGUGUGUGUGGAGGUGUGUGUGUGGAGGUGUGUGUGUGUGGAGGUGUGUGGAGGUGUGUGUGUGUGUGGAGGUGUGUGUGGAGGUGUGUGUGGGGGUGUGUGUGUGGAGGUGUGUGUGUGUGUGGAGGUGUGUGUGUGUGUGUGUGUGGAGAGUGUGUGUGUGUGGAGGUGUGUGUGUGUGUGUGUGUGUGUGGGGGUGUGUGUGUGUGUGUGUGUGUGUGGAGGUGUGUGUGUGUGUGUGUGUGUGGUGUGUGUGUGUGUGUGUGUGUGUGUGGAGGUGUGUGUGUGUGUGUGGGUGUGUGUGUGUGUGUGUGUGGAGGUGUGUGUGUGGAGGAGUGUGUGUGUGUGUGGAGGUGUGUGUGUG